AAAACAGGAAAUAUACAUAAGGUGCUAAAAGGGUUGUGCCGCACGAAAACGAAAGACGGCUUCACGCAGCGGUGUCUGUCUUCCCGGACCAACUCUUUAUGAAUAAUGCACUAAUUGCAUAGUCAGGUGAAGAGCCCGAGAGUGCCAU
ensembl:ncRNA Y102A11A.13 ncRNA